rnacentral:rRNA from 1 species
AUUGAACGCUGGCGGCAGGCCUAACACAUGCAAGUCGAGCGGAUGAAGGGAGCUUGCUCCUGGAUUCAGCGGCUGACGGGUGAGUAAUGCCUAGGAAUCUGCCUGGUAGUGGGGGAUAACGUCCGGAAACGGGCGCUAAUACCGCAUACGUCCUGAGGGAGAAAGCGGGGGAUCUUCGGACCUCACGCUAUCAGAUGAGCCUAGGUCGGAUUAGCUAGUUGGUGGGGUAAAGGCCUACCAAGGCGACGAUCCGUAACUGGUCUGAGAGGAUGAUCAGUCACACUGGAACUGAGACACGGUCCAGACUCCGACGGGAGGCAGCAGUGGGGAAUAUUGGACAAGGGGCGAAAGCCUGAUCCAGCCAUGCCGCGUGUGUGAAGAAGGUCUUCGGAUUGUAAAGCACUUUAAGUUGGGAGGAAGGGCAGUAAGUUAAUACCUUGCUGUCUUGACGUUACCAACAGAAUAAGCACCGGCUAACUUCGUG